CUUCAACGAGCCCAGCCACAGCGGUCGUCCCCCGGCCCGGUCCUGGCCGUACGUGGCCAGCAGGGCCUGGGCUUC
rnacentral:antisense_RNA from 1 species